UCUGGUGGCCAGUGGUUAGAACGUCCGCCUUGAAUGCGGAAGGUCGCAGGUUCGAACCAUGGCCUAGUCAU